AACAUGCCUUUGAUCUGCGUCCUCAUCUGGACUCUCCUCUGCUGCUGCUUCACAGAGUCCAGAGGCCAGAUCACAGUGACUCAGCCUGGAGUAGUGAGGUCUGCUCUGGGAGGAUCAGUCACCAUCACAUGUAGGACCAGCCAGAAUGUUUAUAGUAGCAACUCUUUAGCCUGGUACCAACAGAGAGAUGGAGGAGUUCCUAAACUCCUCAUUUACUAUAGUACCAGUCGACAAUCAGGGAUUCCAGAUCGAUUUUCAGGCAGUGGAUCAAACUCUGACUUCACUCUGACCAUCAGUGGAGUCCAGACUGAAGAUGCAGCAGUUUAUUACUGUCAGAGUUUUCACUAUCCCAACAGUCAGCAUGUGUUCACACAGUGAAAAACCGUCGUACAAAAACCUCCCUCAGUCAGACUGAACAGAAACUGAAGUGACUGCUGCAGCUGGAAGCUACUGUACAGACUGAUACAGUUCACUGAACACACAAACCAGACGUUGGUUAUAAAGUACAUACAGAUCAUACACUGCAUUUGUUAAAACAAAACUGAAUGCAAGUUUCAACAGAAGUGAUUUAAAUUAUCUCCU